GACGAACGCUGGCGGCGUGCCUAAUACAUGCCAGUAGAACGCUGAAGGAGGAGCUUGCUUCUCCGGAUGAGUUGCGAACGGGUGAGUAACGCGUAGGUAACCUGCCUGGUAGCGGGGGAUAACUAUUGGAAACGAUAGCUAAUACCGCAUAACAGUAGAUAUUGCAUGAUAUCUGCUUGAAAGGUGCAAUUGCAUCACUACCAGAUGGACCUGCGUUGUAUUAGCUAGUUGGUGAGGUAACGGCUCACCAAGGCGACGAUACAUAGCCGACCUGAGAGGGUGAUCGGCCACACUGGGACUGAGACACGGCCCAGACUCCUACGGGAGGCAGCAGUAGGGAAUCUUCGGCAAUGGACGGAAGUCUGACCGAGCAACGCCGCGUGAGUGAAGAAGGGUUUCGGAUCGUAAAGCUCUGUUGUAAGAGAAGAACGAGUGUGAGAGUGGAAAGUUCACACUGUGACGGUAUCUUACCAGAAAGGGACGGCUAACUACGUG
rnacentral:rRNA from 1 species